ensembl:lncRNA LINC02175 long intergenic non-protein coding RNA 2175
GACCAAGCCCCGGAAGGCGAGUGCCGGAGGGGGCGGGACAGCUCCUCCGGGGCCAGCGGGCACCAGGCUUGGGGGCUGAGGCCCAGCGGCCCGAGACCAACUGGGCUGACCGAGGCCGCCUCCCCGCCAGCCCUGGGGUCCACUGCCCGGGGAGCAGCUCCCUUCCCAGGUCAGACUCGGGCUUCAUCCUCUCUUGCCGCGCGCCGAGCGGUUUUCAACUCUCACUGCUAGAAUUCCUCCAACCACCCAGGAUAGCAGGACCGAGAUACAUGGCCACCCAUGACCCGGAGCGUCCACUUCCAGGGACAGGCAGUGGUGAUUGGCUUCGGUUGUCAUCUGUGCCAUCUGUCCAUGGUUCGAGAAGCUGCUGUUCACGUUUUGGGGAGGAUCAUGGUUUGAGGGCUCCCGUGGUAGAAUUUGGGGAGCUCUCAUAGGCAGAAGGCUGAGAAAAGUUGGUGCUGUGGGAAGUCAACUGGCAGCCGAUGGAGUCGGGACCCGGGAGGAAUGGAAAGGGAACCCAGAUAGGAAGCUACUGCAGUAGGCUCAGAGAGGUGAUGACGGCAGGGCUAAGACAGCGGCCUUGGGCGGUGACUGGGAAGAACGUUGAACACCGUGUUUGGGCUGAAGAAAAGAGCAAGGGAAGAGGUGAGGAACUUCAGUCCCAGCUGCUCUGGAGUUUGAGGCAGGAGGAUGGCUUGAACCCAAGAGGUGGAGGCUGAAGUGAGCCAAGAUCGCGCCACUGCACUCCAGCCUGGGCGACAGGGCAAAACCCUGUCUCUAAAAAGAACUUUUUAAAAAAGCACCUGUAGAUUUAAGCACAUAAUAACUACACUUUUGUCUGUUUUAUUAUGAUAUCAAAGUUAAAUUUAUGAUGAAUGACUAACUGGACAAAACUGAGAGCAACCACCACAGAGGUGAAUAUACUGAAUGUAUAACACUCUCUAAUAAUUUUAAGAACUCCGCUCUAAUGAGCAGAUAUCACAGAAAGAGACUUUUCAGAUGAAAUACCGAUGACCAGGAAAUCUGUGAGACCAUUUUAAAAAAUUCGAAGUCAUUGAAGAAAUGCAAAGCUUCCAGGCUCCACUUUUCACUGAUGAAAUUGGCAGAGUUUGGGACAAUGAGAUGUUGCUGUCCCGGGAGUGCGGAUGGGGCUGUGUCCUGUGAUGGCGGUGGGCACUGGCACUCUUGUCCAGAAAGACAUUCACCACUGUGGUUCAAGAAGCACCUCAAAGGUCUUCACCUUGGUCCCUUGUCCACCUCUGCCCGCGGUCUCUCCUCCUUUCAGCCUCCUCUUUCCCACACAGUCCCUCCCGCCCUGGCUUGGUCCCCUUUCUUCUGACUGGGUCAGGCAUGUGGGUGACUCUUUGACUUCCAAGGCUCUGUCUACUUGGCUUUUUUCUUUCACCUGUUCUGCAGAAUAACAGCCUGAUUCGUUCCUCUUUUUGGGUCCUUCACUUCCAUACCUGGGAUUCGGGGCGUGGCCCAGAAAGACCCUGCAGUCUUGCAGUGUGGGGCUGCCAGCAUUUCAUGGCCUCCAAGCUCAGCUGGGCUGAAUGAACGCUGCCAUCCAGCGCUUGGCUCAUUUUCUGUCCCAUUUUCCUGAGUGCUUUUGCCAGACUUACACUUUUCUGAAAGCUACUCCACCCUACCCCAGACACACCCUCUCUCCUCGGAUGACCUGCCUCCUAAUUUCCUGAGAAAACUGGACAUGGCCACCUUUCCCCAGUGUCUGAGGCCCAGGUUGACCCGUGGUCAUGGUCGCUGUCACCACCCACCUGCCUGUAUGACAGAGUGAGACCCUGUCUCAAAAAAAAAUAAAAAGAAUGCCUCAUGUUAGGCUGGGUGUAGUGGCUUAUGCCUGCAAUCCCAGCACUUUGGGAGGCUGAGGCAGGAGGAUAGUUUGAGCCCAGGAGUUCAAGGUCAACCUGGGCAAGAGAGGGAGACCCUGUCUCUACAGUUAAUUUUUAAAAAUUAAGGCAGGGCAUGAUGGCUCGUGCACGUAAUCCCAGCACUUUGGGAGGCUGAGUCAGGACGAUUGCAUGAGCCCAGGAAUUCAAGACCAGCCUGGGCAAUGUAGAGAGACCUCCAUCUCUACAAAGAAUUUUUAAAAAUUAAGGCAAGGUAUGGUGGCUGAUGCCUGUAAUCCCAGCACUUCGGGAGGAUGAGGUAGGAGGAUAGAUUCAGCCCAGGAGUUGGAGGCUGCAGUGAGCCAUAAUCACACCACUGCACUCCAGCAUGGGCAACAGCGUAAGACCCUAUCUGAAAAUACAUAAAUAAAAGAAAAAG